UACGUAGGGUGCAAGCGUUGUCCGGAAUUAUUGGGCGUAAAGAGCUCGUAGGCGGUCUGUCGCGUCGGCUGUGAAAACCCGGAGCUCAACUCCGGGCCUGCAGUCGAUACGGGCAGACUGGAGUUCGGCAGGGGAGACUGGAAUUCCUGGUGUAGCGGUGAAAUGCGCAGAUAUCAGGAGGAACACCGGUGGCGAAGGCGGGUCUCUGGGCAUUAACUGACGCUGAGGAGCGAAAGCAUGGGGAGCGAACAGGA
rnacentral:rRNA from 1 species